rnacentral:misc_RNA from 1 species
GAUGAAGAACGUAGCGAAAUGCGAUACGUAAUGUGAAUUGCAGAAUUCAGUGAAUCAUCGAAUCUUUGAACGCACAUUGCACUCUCUGGUAUUCCGGAGAGUAUGCUUGUUUGAGUAUCAGUAAACACCUCAAAUCUCUACAUUCGUGUUGAGAAUUGGACUUGAGCAAUCCCAACUCUUUGCAAAAAGGGGCGGGUUGCUUGAAAUGCAGGUGCAGCUGGACAUUCUUCUGAGCUAAAAGCAUAUUUAUUUAGUCCCGUCAAACGGAUUAUUACUUUUGCUCUAGCUAAUAUAAAGGUCGAAUGGACUAUACGCUGACUGAUGCAGGAUUACCAAGUUUCCGUCAAAAGAAAUUUGUAAACUCGAUCUCAAAUCAAGUAAGACUACCCGCUGAACUUAAGCAUAUCAAUAAGCGGAGGA